AUGCAAGUCGAGCGGUAAGGCCUUUCGGGGUACACGAGCGGCGAACGGGUGAGUAACACGUGGGUGAUCUGCCCUGCACUCUGGGAUAAGCCUGGGAAACUGGGUCUAAUACCGGAUAUGACCUGCUCUCGCAUGGGGGUGGGUGGAAAGAUUUAUCGGUGCAGGAUGGGCCCGCGGCCUAUCAGCUUGUUGGUGGGGUAAUGGCCUACCAAGGCGACGACGGGUAGCCGACCUGAGAGGGUGACCGGCCACACUGGGACUGAGACACGGCCCAGACUCCUACGGGAGGCAGCAGUGGGGAAUAUUGCACAAUGGGCGAAAGCCUGAUGCAGCGACGCCGCGUGAGGGAUGAAGGCCUUCGGGUUGUAAACCUCUUUCAGCAGGGACGAAGCGCAAGUGACGGUACCUGCAGAAGAAGCACCGGCUAACUACGUGCCAGCAGCCGCGGUAAUACGUAGGGUGCGAGCGUUGUCCGGAAUUACUGGGCGUAAAGAGUUCGUAGGCGGUUUGUCGCGUCGUUUGUGAAAACCCGGGGCUCAACUUCGGGCUUGCAGGCGAUACGGGCAGACUUGAGUGUUUCAGGGGAGACUGGAAUUCCUGGUGUAGCGGUGAAAUGCGCAGAUAUCAGGAGGAACACCGGUGGCGAAGGCGGGUCUCUGGGAAACAACUGACGCUGAGGAACGAAAGCGUGGGUAGCAAA
rnacentral:rRNA from 1 species